UGAGAGCUGAUCAACGGGACUUUUCGUCAGCAGUAUGCAACACUUGUUCGCGAAAAAAAAAAAACGUCACACGCACACAAACACAUAGAAACGGAAAUUUCUAAACACUACAAGAGAAAUAAAGGAAAUCCAAACAAUAAACGAACGAAAAGAAAUUACUGCGCAAGUUAGUUACUCAAGUGUGGACAAUACGUAUACGCUUGCCCACGUUCUGGUCAUCUUGUGUCUUGCCCUUGGUGGUGGCGCCGCUG